CUGCCACACCCUGCCACUGCAGGCCGCACCCUCAACUCCCAACUGCCAACUUGAAGCCUGAACUACCCUUUCCCUGACCAGAGUUCAGGAGGGGAAGAGCUACACCUCCCUGCACAUGAAUCCACUCAUUUGAAAGCACAACUGACCCUGGAUUUAAGCUGGCCAGGACCCUGGGAGAUCUUUGGAAGGAUUUUUGCCUGGGUUUAGGGUUAACUUAAAGAGGUGCCCAGAAGACCAAGUGAGGCAGUUCAUGCCUGUAAUCCCAACACUUUACAAGGCCAAGGCAGAGGAUGGCUUGAGCCCAGGCAACAUGGUGAGACCAGGCUUUAAAAAAACAUAUGAGCCAGGCAUGGUGGUACAUGCCUGUGGUCCCAGCUACUCGAGAGGCUGAGAUGGGAGGAUCCGGUCCGCCCAUGAGGUCAAGGUUGCAGUGAGCCAUGAUUGUGUUACCGCACCCCAGCCUGGACAACAAAGCAAGACUCUGUCUCAAAGCAAAAAAAAAAAAAAAAAAAAAAAAGUGCUCAAAGUGGAUGGAAGUGGACAAAGACUUGGUUGUAGAAGGAGGUAGAAAGGCUCUGGAAUAAGAAAAACUUCACCACAGAGGAGAAUCAGUGAGUUGCAGAAGUUCUAGGAUCUUCUGAGACCUUAAACUGCAGGCUUCAUACCCCUGGACUCAAGAAUCUAGAACUGUCACCUCUAGCUUUAAGUGAGGAGCUAAAGAGGCUACUCAACCUGCUCUAUUCACAGAGGCCACCUUCUCCUACCUCCCUCACAUCCUGUGUUGUUUAUUGGCAGUCCUCCCAGCCUGAGAAGUCUUUCAAG
rnacentral:lncRNA from 1 species